UAUAAUGAUUCUUAUCUUAGGCGAGUUGGAAGCAAUGUACUGUCGUACGUGAACAUGGUUUGUGCAAGUUUGAGAAAUUCUAUUCCCAAGUCUGUUGUCUAUAGUCAAGUGAGGGAAGCAAAACGCAGUUUACUUGAUUAUUUCUUUGCAGAGUUGGGUAAGAAAGAGACAAAACAGUUGUCUUCUUUGUUGGACGAGGAUCCAGCAGUGAUGCAGCGACGUACCUCCCUUGCGAAGAGACUGGAAUUGUACAGAAGUGCCCAAGCAGAGAUAGAUGCAGUUGCAUGGGCAGCCAAGUAGAGAAGAGAGAUUCUUUCUUAGACCUUUUGGAUUCAGCAGGUGGAUCAAAUCAAUUCUUUGAAAUUCAUUCUUUAUACCUUAUCUUUCUUAGCUAGUCAUUUUUGUAUGAUUCAAUGAGCCAUCGUUUUCCUUAAUACAAUAUCACGAAUUCACUGGCCACUGGCCAAGUUGUCA
rnacentral:misc_RNA from 1 species